AGUAUGGCUCAGUUGGUAGAGCAGCUGAUUCGUAAUCAGCAGGUCGUCGGUUCAAGUCCGACUACU
rnacentral:tRNA from 1 species